UUGAAGAGUGCGUAAUAGCUCACUAGUCGAGUGAAUCUGCGCCGAAGAUGACUCGGGGCUAAGCAUACUACCGAAAUUACGGAUUGCAUAGAAGUUCGCUUUUAUGCAGUGGUAGGGGAGCGUUAUUAGCAGCUGCGAAGGUAUACCGUAAGGAGUGCUGGAGCGCUAAUAAGUGAGAAUGCUGGAAUGAGUAGCGAUAAGGAAGGUGAGAAUCCUUCCCGCCGAAAAUCUAAGGUUUCCUUGAGCAACGUUCGUCGGCUCAGGGUCAGUCGGGCCUAAGCUCAGGCCGAAAGGCGUAGGCGAAGGACAUCAGGUUAAUAUUCCUGAACUAUAGUAAGCGCGUCAUAACCUAGGGAGGGACGCAGUAGAGUAAACCAUCUGGCUAUAUGCCAGUUCAAGGCCGUAGGCAUCUUCGGGUAGGCAAAUCCGUCCGGAGGCUAAGCCGAAAACCGAGUACGAGUAACCGUAAGGUUGCGAAGUGGUCCAAUCACGCUGCCUAGAAAAACUUCGUAGGGAGUUCUUACUAUAACCGUACCGUAAACCGACACAGGUGGAUGGGGUGAAAAUCCUAAGGCGCGCGAGAUAACCAUCGUCAAGGAACUAGGCAAACUAGCUCCGUAACUUCGGAAGAAGGAGUGCCCAAGUACCGGUGCAGCAAUGUAUUGGGAAAGGGUCGCAGUGAAUUGGGCUUCGUGACUGUUUAACAAAAACUUAGGGCUCUGCUGAAAUCUCAAGAUGAUGUAUAGGGCCUGAUGCCUGCCCGGUGCCGGAAGGUCAAGGGGAGUGGUUAGCCGCAAGGCGAAGCUGCGAACUUAAGCCCCGGUAAACGGCGGCGGUAACUAUAACCGUCCUAAGGUAGCGAAAUUCCUUGUCGGGUAAGUUCCGACCUGCACGAAUGGCAUAACAAAGAAGCCGCUGUCUCGACGGUGGGCUCGGCGAAAUUGUGGUUCAAGUGAAGACGCUUGAUGCAUGCAACAAGACGAAAAGACCCUAUGGAGCUUUACUGUAGCUUGUUAUUGGAUUACGGUUUUCAAUACGUAGUAUAGCUGGGAGCCAUUGAAACAUCCCUUGAGGGGGGUGCGGAGGCAACAGUGAAAUACCAGCUUUUGUGAAUUGUGGUUCUAACCUAUUACCCGUGAAUCCGGGUUGGGGACAGUGGCAGGUGGGCAGUUUGACUGGGGCGGUCGCCUCCUAAAGAGUAACGGAGGCGUUCUAAGGUUCCUUCAGGCCGAAUAGAAAUCGGCCAUUGAGCGCAAAGGUAGAAAGGAGCUUGACUGUGAGGACGACGGUCCGAACAGGUGCGAAAGCAGGACUUAGUGAUCCGGUGGUCCCUCGUGGGAGGGCCAUCGCUCAACGGACAAAAGCUACCCUGGGGAUAACAGGCUGAUCGGGCCCAAGAGUUCACAUCGACGGCUCGGUUUGGCACCUCGAUGUCGGCUCAUCACAUCCUCC
rnacentral:rRNA from 1 species